rnacentral:tRNA from 1 species
ACCCUGUUAGUUCAGCGGAAGAACAGCUGGUUUACACCCAGUAUGUCGGAGGUUCGAAUCCUUCACGGGGUA